AGGCCCCUGUAUUGAGAGUCGGAU
rnacentral:miRNA from 1 species